AAGAAGAAGAAGAAGAAGAUAGCUGCGGCAAGGCUGCAGCGAGGAGAUGUGUGGCCUUGGGGAGGAAAAGGGAAGAGGGGAAGAGGAGAAGAAGAAGAAGAGGAAGAGAAAGAGGUGUGAUACCUCUGUUUCCUGCAGAGGAAACAGAGGAGAGGGUGUGUGUGACGCCGGGGAAGAAGGGGCUGCAGCUGCGGCGAUGGCAGCUGCAGCUGGAAGAGAAGAAGAAGAGGAAGAUGAGAAUGGGAGGAGGGAGAGGUUGCGGCCGUGGCUGCGGCCGCGACUGCAGCAGUUGCAGCGGGGAGAGAAGAAGAAGAAAGGAAGGAGAAGGAAGAGGAGAAGGGAAAGAAGUAGCUGCGGCUGCGGUUGUGGCAGCUGCAGCUAUGGCAGGGAAAGAGGAAGAGAAAAAGGAAAGGAAGAAGAAGAGAAAGGGAAGGAGAGGAAGAAGAGAGGAAGAGGAGAAGGGGCUGCGGCUGCGGCGAUGGCAGCUGCAGCUGUGGCAGGGAAAGAGAAAAAGGAAAGGAAGAAGAAGAGAAAGGUAAGGAGAGGAAGAAGAGAGGAAGAGGAGAAGGGGCUGCGGCUGCAGUGAUGGCAGCUGCAGCUGUGGCUGGGAAAGAAGAGAAGGAAAGGAAGAAGAAGAGAAAGGGAAAGAGAGGAAGAAGAGAGGAAGAGGAGAAGGGGUGGCAGCUGCGGCAGUGGCAGCUGCAGUUGGAAGAGAAGUAGGAGAGGAAAUAGAGUAGCAGAGGAAGAAGAGGCUGCGGUUGUGGUGGCUGCGGCCAUGGCUGCGACUGCGACUGCGGCAGUUGCAGCUGGGAAAGAAAGGAAAGGAAAGGGGGAAAAAGGGGCUGCGGACGGGAUUGCGGUCGCAGCGGCAGCGACUGCGUAUGCAGCAGUUAUGUCUGCGAGAGAAGGGAGGAAGGAAGGUAGUGCGGUGGAAGGGGCUGCGAUUGUGGCAGCGGCAGCGGCAGCGGCGGCGGUUGUGGCAGCUGCGUUUGGGAAAGAAAAAGAAGGAAUGAGAGUAAGAGAAAGCAGGUGACUGUGCCUCGAUGUUCGACACGUGGUGUAGUUGCGAAGAAAGGAAGAAAAUGGGAGCACAAAACGAAACAGAGAGAGGACACGGAGGAAAAGUAGAAGGAUUUGGGCUAGCACCUUCUUUGGAUCUUCGGAUCGAAAUCCUUGAAAGGUCAGCUUGUCACUCUUCGAGAUGUUUGAUUUGGGCUGAGGCAGUGGAUAGCUAUUCAGAAUUAUGGGCAAGUCCUGUUGGUUGUUAUGCUAUUGUUGUAUAAGCAUAUUUUGUAUGUAAUGAAUUGUUCUGAUGAUCGAAAUGGAUAUACUGUGUAAAAGUGUUAGAAGAUCUCUCUUA